rnacentral:lncRNA from 1 species
GGAAAGCUUUAUUGAUCAAGGUGGGGUUAUGUGACGCCUUUGUCUGGUCGUUGAACACAAACGAAGUACGCGAAGUUGCAGCUAUGGCGAACUUUAAUCUAGACAAAACCCAAAGUCUAAACGACGCCCUAAGGGCUAUAUAUAUGGAGGAAGAGGGGGGGAUUUUGUGGCCCUUGGAGGAGGGGUCUGAAACCAACCCUAACUCUUGUUUCCCCACACAUACGGACUCUAAAAACAGCCUAUACUUAAGUAUUUCUAAAUUACAUGGGCCUAGCCCAAUAAUAAUGUGACGCGGCACCUAGAAUAGCCUCUGGACGAAAUUUAUGAAGUGGCAUCUCCUAUAUUUCGUCCAAGGCUUCUUGCACUCCUUAUGGUGGCUUCAAAGUCCUGAAAUCAUCACUUGUAACUCCGUUCUUGUUCUCCUUGCGUAUGCCAUCAUCUCCAUGCUUGGUCUUGCUCCAGUGUUCAUCCCUCUUAUCCAUGCCAGGCCCUUCAUUUUUAAGCAAAACCAAUGUAUCCAAUUUAGGCAGCAUCAUAUUCUCAUGAACAUUAGAAUCAUUACCAAGAAACGAAAGUACCUGAUAAUUUAAUUGGCGUGCGCGAGCUCUAGUAAUUGGUCCAGUAUGUAUAGCAGCAGGGGCUGUGGGUGUAACAAUGGUAUUGAUGUCCUCAUCAUCCUCCCCUUCUUGAAAUGUAGUCGUCCUCGACGGAAGCUCAUCUUCCUCACCCAAAUAAGGCUUCAAAUUUGCAAUGUUAAAAGUGGUACUAACCCCAAAAUCUGCAGGCAGCUCAAGUUUAUAUGCAUUAUGAUUUAUUUUCUCUAACACCUUAAAAGGACAAUCAGCACGUGGCAUUAGCUUUGAUUUGCGCAAAUUAGGAAACCUAUCCUUAUGCAAAUGUAACCAAACAAGAUCUCCAGGUGCAAAGACAACACGUUUUCUACCCUGAUCUCCAACUAGUUUAUAUUUAGUAUUCAUGCGCUCAAUAUUUUCCUUAGUUAACUCAUGCAUUUUUAAGAUCAAUUCAGCAGGUUGUUUAGCAUCAAAAUUAAACUUCUCCGAAGAUGGAAGAGGCAACAAAUCAAUAGGUGCACGAGGUAGGAAACCAUACACAAUUUCAAAAGGGCACAUCUUAGUAGUAGAAUGCAGCGACCGAUUAUAAGCAAAUUCAAUAUGAGGCAAGCAUUCUUCCCACAUUUUCUUGUUAUUCUUCGAAACAGCCCUAAGCAUGGUAGACAAUGUUCUAUUGACUACUUCACUUUGUCCAUCAGUUUGGGGAUGACAUGUAGUACUAAAAAGCAGUUUAGUCCCCAACUUAGCCCAUAAACAUCUCCAAAAGUGGCUAAGAAAUUUAGUAUCACGAUCAAAAACAAUAGUAUUGGCACACCAUGCAAGCAAAUAAUUUCAUGAAAGAACAAAUCAGCAACAUUAACAGCAUCAUCGCUUUUAUGACAUGGUAUAAAGUGUGCCAUUUUCGAGAACCUAUCCACGACAACAAAUAUGAUAUCCCUCCCCUUCUUUGUUCGAGGUAAACCUAAAACAAAGUCCAUAGAUAUAUCCUCCCAAGGAACACUAGGUACAGGCAAAGGCAUAUAUAAACCAUGAGGAUUGAGUCGUGACUUAGCUUUUUGACAUGUAGUGCAGCGAGCAACAAAACGCUCAACAUCCCGUCUCAUCUUUGGCCAAAAGAAAUGUGUAGCAAGUAUACCCUCCGUCUUCUUCACGCCAAAGUGUCCCAUUAAUCCUCCUCCAUGCGCCUCCUGCAACAAAAAAAGAUGAACGGAGCUAGCUGGAAUGCAUAGCUUGUUAGCACGAAACAAAAAUCCAUCGUUAACGACGAACUUGUUCCAAGUUCUCCCUUCCUUACAAUUCUGCAAUACAUCUUUAAAUUCAGCAUCAUGCACAUAUUGAUCUUUGAUGGUCUCCAAACCAAAUAUGUAAAAGUCAAGUUGUGAAAGCAUAGUAUAACGACGAGACAAUGCAUCAGCAAUAACAUUUUCUUUACCCUUCUUGUGUUUAAUGACAUAAGGGAAAGUCUCAAUGAAUUCAACCCAUUUAGCAUGUCUACGGUUCAGUUUUUCUUGACUUUUAAUGUGUUUCAAAGAUUCAUGAUCAGAAUGUAUAACAAAUUCCUUGGGCCAUAAAUAAUGUUGCCAUGUUUCUAAGGUCCGAACAAGAGCAUAUAAUUCUUUAUCAUAAGUAGAAUAAUUCAGACUAGGCCCACCCAAUUUUUCAGAAAAGUAUGCAACAGGUUUGCCAUCUUGUAAUAACACACCUCCUAAUCCAAUUCCACUAGCAUCACAUUCAAGCUCAAAAGUCUUAUUAAAAUCAGGAAGUGGGAGUAAAGGAGCAUGUGUCAACUUAUCUUUCAAUACCGUGAAGGCUUCUGCCUGUGCGGUACCCCAAACAAAAGGCACAUCCUUCUUUGUAAGCUCGUUGAGAGGUGCAGCAAUGUUGCUGAAAUCUCUCACAAAACGCCUAUAGAAACCAGCGAGGCCAAGGAAACUCCUCACUUGUGUGACUGUUUUGGGUUGCGGCCAACUCAAGCUUUAAUCUUGGCUUUAUCAACUUCAAUUCCCUGUGGAGUAACAACAUAGCUAAGAAAAUAGAUUCGGUCGAUGCAAAAGGUGCACUUUCCAAGGUUACCAAACAAACGUGCAUCACGUAGAGCAAUAAAAACAGCACGUAAAUGUUCCAGAUGUUCCUCCAAAGAUUUACUAUAAAUUAGCAUAUCAUCAAAAUAGACUACCACAAAUCGUCCAAUGAAAGCACGUAAAACUUCGUUCAUUAAUCUCAUGAAAGUACUAGGUGCAUUAGUUAACCCAAAAGGCAUGACUAACCACUCAUAUAAACCAAACUUAGUUUUAAAUGCAGUUUUCCAUUCAUCUCCCAAUUUCAUACGAAUUUGAUGGUAUCCACUACGCAAAUCAACUUUGGGGAAAAUUGUAGAGCCACUCAAUUCAUCAAGCAUAUCAUCUAGCCUAGGAAUAGGAUGACGAUAACGAAUAGUAAUAUUAUUAAUGCCUCUACAAUCAACACACAUAUGCAUGUACCAUCUUUUUUCGGCACUAGAAUAAUAGGAACAGCACAAGGACUAAGGGAUUCGCAAAUAUAACCUUUGUCGAGCAGCUCCUGGACUUGACGCAUAAUCUCCUUCGUCUCCUCUGGAUUGGUACGGUAUGGUGCACGGUUGGGUAGCGAAGCACCGGGAAUUAAGUCAAUCUGAUGCUCAAUCCCUCGAAUAGGUGGUAAUCCCGGUGGCACGUCUUGUGGAAAGACGUCAGCGAACUCCUGCAAAAUGUUAGUAACGACAGGAGGCAAAGAGGAAGGCACGUCCUCGGAUGAAAAUAAUGCCUCUUUGCACACAAAAGCAUAGCAAAUAGAUUUGCUAAAAUCUAGCUCACCAAUAUCAAAUUUGGUGGCAAGUAAACAUGCACUUUUCAAUUUAAUUUCAGAAGCUACACUAGAUGGUUUAUUAUCAGGCUUCAUUUGUUGCUCAAAUUCUUUUGCCACAAUCUGAUUUUCACUCUUAUUUUUCUCCUGUUUUGCUUUAUUAGCUCUAUUAAUAUCAUCUUCCAAAAUGGAAUCAGGAGUCAUAGGAAGCAAAGUAAUAUUUUUAUCCUUAUGAACAAGAGUAUACUGAUUGUUUCUACCAUGGUGUACAGAAUUUUUAUCAAGUUGGCAUGGUCUACCAAGUAAUAAGGAACAUGCUUGCAUGGGUACCACAUCACAAUCAACAUAAUCAGCAUAUGUAGAGAUACUAAAAUGCACACGAACAGUACGUGUUACCUUAACCUUGCCGCUGUUGUUGAACCAUUGGAUGUAGUAAGGAUGUGGAUGUGGUCUUGUGGUGAGAGAUAGCUUCUCCACCAUCUCCAUGCUAGCCAAGUUGUUGCAGCUCCCUCCAUCUAUGAUGACUCGAAUAGAACGUUCCUUCACAACUCCCUUUGUAUGGAACAAAUUAUGCCUCUGAUUUUGCUCAGCUUGUGUAACCUGCACACUCAAAACACGUUGAGCAACUAAACAUUCAUACCUGUCAGCGUCUUCAGGAGCCAUGUAUUGCGUCUCAUUUUCAGAAUCAUCUCCACCGUGUUCUUCACGUGUUAUAAGAGCCAAAGUCUCCUCAUCAUAGUCACUAGCGGACUCAUAACCACCAUCCUCAGUGGCAAUCAUCACACGCUGAGAUUUGCAUUCUCUCGCAUAAUGACCACUUCCCUUACAACAACGACAAAUAAUAUCACUUGUGUGCCCUGUUGAUGCCAUGGAAGAAGAAGAGCUCUGUACAGGCCCGACAGGUGUGCUCUUGGUAGAUAGUGGUGGUUGUGCCUGCUUUCUUGUAUCACGACUGGAGGUGGCAGCUGAUGGAGGUGCCGAUGCAGUAGAAUAUGUGGAAGUAGAGGAUGCACGCGGUGUCCAUGUGGAAGGUCGACCUGCAGAAAAGUUAGUUCGUGCCAAUGCCUGUCGAUCCUGCACUUCACGUUCAGCUUUACAAGCAAGAUGGAAUAAACGAGUGAUAUUAGUAUACUCCUUAUACUCUAGAAUGGUCUAAAUCUCUCUAUUUAAUCCACCCAUAAAACGUGCAAGCAUAGCUUCAUUAUCCUCAACAAUACCACAUCUAAUCAUGCCAGUUUGUAAUUCCUGAUAAUAUUCCUCUACAGAAUUUUUUCCUUGCCUUAAACGCUGCAAUUUUUGAAGUAAUUCACGUUGAUAACAUGGUGGAACCCAACGAGUACGCAUAGCAGUUUUCAAAGCAGCCCAAGUAGUUGGAAUAUUAUUUGGAUAUAAUCUACGAUGUUCAGACCACCACACACAAGCAAAACUAGUGAAAGCACAAAGUUCGGUUUCUAACUCCCAAGUAAGAUAUAUAUCAGGAACGUAUCUACCUUCAAAUGGUGGAAUAUUCAAUUUCAGUUUAGGGAGAUGGUCGUGAUCUCGUACCUGAGGGGGUGGUGCAGCCCAACCAUUGCGAUUAUUUGCAUGUGGACGACCUGGUGGUUGUGGUGCUGGUGGUUGUGGUGCUGGUGGUUGCACGUAGUUCUGAUUUUGAUCAACCUCAUCCUCAUAAUCUCCCGCAUAAUCAUCCUCCUCCUCAUCAGCAGCAGGAGCCACAGAAGUAUCAACAGCAGCACCAACAGUUUGGCCAUGCUCAAGAGGGACACGGCUCGCUCGGCGGAGGGUUGUUUCGCGACGUGGAGGUAGUCGUUGUUGGUGGUGGUGGUGGUGCAGAGGUGCGGCAGGUGCGGCCGGUGGUGGUUGUGGAAGACGCGCAAGCAGUUCAUUAAAUUUGUUAUCGAGCUUUGUUUCGAAGUCUUCUCAAGGCCAGUUAUCUUAUCCAUGGCCUCUUCAAAAUUGUUCAGCACAUCUUGCACCUGUUCAGUCAUCAUUUGCUGAAAUUUAUCAUGCAACUCCUUAUUCGUCAUGUUCUCCCAGUCAGUCUCAUCGACUUGUGAUCUUGCCAUGGUUAGCAGCAAUAGAAACACACAAGAAUAUGAUCCUACAGACUACUAGAAAAUGGUGGUGUUGGGGCAUCACAAAUCCGUCAAGCAAAUCUCAAAUUCUUACCAGUUCUUACCAAGCAGCAGGUCGUGAUCGGCUACCGUUGUAGUCAAAACUCUGAAAGCUUGGAUAGAGCGAUUACCAGGGAGAGUCAAACGCACGACGUAGAUGUAUGUGGAGCUGGGAAGGCUUAUAAUAUGGUAGCAAAAAGGAUCAGCAAUAAUCAAUUUAGAGAUGCCAAGUUGAAUAAAUGCUCAACAACAGUACUGUGCUAGUCCUAGGUUAGACCGUACUAGAGACGCGAGCCUAGAACACGAACAAAAUCACGGCGCGACAGGGAAAAGCACACUGAAAAAAUUGCUCUUUUUUUGCGCUCUUUUUUUGCGAAAAAUCACUAUAAUGGCGAGUGUCUCAAAACUCUUCCCAAGUCAAACUAACAGGAUAGGCACAAAAAAAAUUUGACAAUUUUUUUUCGGAAAUCAGGGCAGCGACAGACGAAAAAGUGCAACAAAAAAUCACUAUGAUGGCGAGUGUCUCAAAACGCUCCCUGGGACCUAAAAACAGGAUAAGGAAAAAAUAUUUUCGGUCGCCGAAAUUUUGGCCUAAAAACUGACCGGGGGUCUCCAGACUUUUUUUUCCCGAAACCUACUCAGGCAAGGAAACACGAAUCGGAAAUUAGAUGGAUCUCGAAAACAAACCUAAUAUGAAAGGAACUCGGAUUGAUGGUAGAUAUAUGGUGGUAGGAUAUGGCAGCGGUGGUGGUAUAUGGUAGCGGUGGUGGUAUAUGGAUACGGAUCGGUGGUGGUAUAUGGAUACAGAUCGGUGGUGGUAUAUGGAUACGGUGGUGGUAUACGGAUACGAAUCGAUGGUAUAUGGCAGCGUUAGUGGGAUAUGGCAGCGGUGGUGGUAUAUGGCAGCGGUGGUGGGAUAUGGCAGCAGCGAUGAUGAUGGCGCGGCGGCGGCGUGACAAACUGUGACAGAACUCGAAACUCUAAAGGACUAGACGCUAAGACCAGCAACUAGACACGACGAUGCAACCGCAAAUUCAACAAAGCAAAACCCUAAAAAAGAUUAUGCAAAGACUCAAAUUGGUUCAGAUAUGAUGAACUAACCCUAAUUUUUUUUGGCUUUUUCAUGGAGUGUAGGUAUGAAGAACAGACUCAAUCUAAACUACGAAAAACUGUAAAAUCUCACCGAGCAACCUGGAACUCUGAUACCACUUGAUAGAGGCAAAGGUGUCCCGUCUUUCGAUGAGAUGGUGGCUAUCGUUUUGGAAGAAGUGGACUUUGAUGAUCCGACUACGAACUUGCGAGGACGUCGCGCCUUAGCAAUCGCUAAACCAACUCCGAGAGGUUAUUGACCACGCCGGAGCACGAUCAACCUGACCACGAAGGUCUGUUUCUUGCAGGCAAACGAAGAACAAGCAAGAAACUAAGAUUGCAAUCUGGAUAUUGCGAAUAUAAGAGGAAAGCUUUAUUGAUCAAGGUGGGGUUCUGUGACGCCUUUUUCUGGUCGUUGAACACAAACAAAGUACACGAAGUUGCAACUAUGGCAAACUUUAAUCUAAACAAAACUCAAAGUCUAAACGACGCCCUAAGGGUUGUAUAUAUGGAGGAAGAGGGGGGAUUCGUGGCCCUUGGAGGUGGGGUCCGAAACCAACCCUAACUCUUGUUUUCCCACACAUACGGACUCUAAAAACAGCCUAUACUUAAGUAUUUCGAAAUUACAUAGGCCUGGCCCAAUAAUAAGGUGACGCAGCAUCUAGAAUAGCCUCUGGACAAAAUUUAUGAAGUGG